GACGAACGCUGGCGGCGUGCUCAACACAUGCAAGUCGAACGGAAAGGCCCUGCUUUUGUGGGGUGCUCGAGUGGCGAACGGGUGAGUAACACGUGAGUAACCUGCCCUUGACUUUGGGAUAACUUCAGGAAACUGGGGCUAAUACCGGAUAGGAGCUCCUGCUGCAUGGUGGGGGUUGGAAAGUUUCGGCGGUUGGGGAUGGACUCGCGGCUUAUCAGCUUGUUGGUGGGGUAGUGGCUUACCAAGGCUUUGACGGGUAGCCGGCCUGAGAGGGUGACCGGCCACAUUGGGACUGAGAUACGGCCCAGACUCCUACGGGAGGCAGCAGUGGGGAAUAUUGCACAAUGGGCGGAAGCCUGAUGCAGCAACGCCGCGUGCGGGAUGACGGCCUUCGGGUUGUAAACCGCUUUCGCCUGUGACGAAGCGUGAGUGACGGUAAUGGGUAAAGAAGCACCGGCUAACUACGUGCCAGCAGCCGCGGUGAUACGUAGGGUGCGAGCGUUGUCCGGAUUUAUUGGGCGUAAAGGGCUCGUAGGUGGUUGAUCGCGUCGGAAGUGUAAUCUUGGGGCUUAACCCUGAGCGUGCUUUCGAUACGGGUUGACUUGAGGAAGGUAGGGGAGAAUGGAAUUCCUGGUGGAGCGGUGGAAUGCGCAGAUAUCAGGAGGAACACCAGUGACGAAGGCGGUUCUCUGGGCCUUUCCUGACGCUGAGGAGCGAAAGCGUGGGGAGCGAACAGGCUUAGAUACCCUGGUAGUCCACGCUGUAAACGGUGGGUACUAGGUGUGGGGUCCAUUCCACGGGUUCCGUGCCGUAGCUAACGCUUUAAGUACCCCGCCUGGGGAGUACGGCCGCAAGGCUAAAACUCAAAGGAAUUGACGGGGCCCCGCACAAGCGGCGGAGCAUGCGGAUUAAUUCGAUGCAACGCGUAGAACCUUACCUGGGUUUGACAUGGAUCGGGAGUGCUCAGAGAUGGGUGUGCCUCUUUUGGGGUCGGUUCACAGGUGGUGCAUGGCUGUCGUCAGCUCGUGUCGUGAGAUGUUGGGUUAAGUCCCGCAACGAGCGCAACCCUUGUUCACUGUUGCCAGCACGUUAUGGUGGGGACUCAGUGGAGACCGCCGGGGUCAACUCGGAGGAAGGUGGGGAUGACGUCAAGUCAUCAUGCCCCUUAUGUCCAGGGCUUCACGCAUGCUACAAUGGCUGGUACAGAGAGUGGCGAACCUGUGAGGGUGAGCGAAUCUCGGAAAGCCGGUCUCAGUCCGGAUUGGGGUCUGCAACUCGACCUCAUGAAGUCGGAGUCGCUAGUAAUCGCAGAUCAGCAACGCUGCGGUGAAUACGUUCCCGGG
rnacentral:rRNA from 1 species